CCUGUAUCCUGAGGCUGGAGGAGGGGAUCUGCAGAUACAUUCUGGCAGUUGGUGCUCUGAAUUUUGAUGAUGGCAGGAACAAACACAGUGUCAACACUGUGCAGAUGUGUUUUAACCCAGCAGAAUAUUUCGAUGAGUUUGAUGAAGACCACUGGCAAUGGGCAGCACAAGUAAUUUAAGUUCCUUUGUAGUUCUACCAUAUCUAUCAUCAACAGGACAAAAGCAUUUGAGAAAAAAGGUGAAAGUCAGUACCAGUGUGUUUCCUCAUAAGACUCCAACAUGAGAAGUUCAGAGAACAGUAGCUUUGCUGAGAACUGCCUGGCACACUUUAUGAAGAUUUGUCCUUUAUUAAUAUUUCUGGUUUCUGGACUGUGGGCAGUUAUGAAGAGGUCAGUGAUUCCCCCUCCAUCAGACAGCAAAUGGACCUCUUAGGCUCAGGAUGAGCAGUUGGGUUUUCCUCCUUGAAAAGAUGGGUGAAGAGGAGAGAAAGUCAGAUCUGGUCCUGCGGGUUAAUCUGUGGAGCAGUCCCAGAGGCAAAAGCACAGAGGUGACACAGUCUCACAGCAUUGCUCUUGGAUCCAUAGCAGCCCACUCUCUUCUGAGUGCCUGCUGAUGUGCCUCAGUAUCCUCCUUAUUGCAGCACCAUCACUCAGAGUAUUUGAAUUUUCGUGUCUUCAGUGUGAGCUCUUUGUAAAGUAAUAAUCUGUGCUUUCAAAUGUUCAGUCAUAAUCAGCUGAUUGAUCAUCCUUUGGUUGGGGGUAACAAAUGUGACAUUUGGCGACCAGGUUAUCCUGUGCUUGGCACCACAGUGCAGCGUGUGGCUUUUGGCUUGGUGAA